rnacentral:rRNA from 1 species
GGUAAAAUGCGUAAAUAUAUGGAGGAACACCAGAGGCGUAGGCGGCUUGCUGGGACUUUACUGACGCUGAGGCACGAAAGCGUGGGGAGCAAACAGGAUUAGAUACCCUGGUAGUCCACGCCGUAAACGAUGAGUACUAAGUGUCGGGUAAAACCGGUACUGAAGUUAACACAUUAAGUACUCCGCCUGAGUAGUACGUACGCAAGUAUGAAACUUAAAGGAAUUGACGGGACUCCGCACAAGCGGUGGAUCAUGUUGUUUAAUUCGAAGAUACACGAAAAACCUUACCAGGUCUUGACAUUUUCUUGCGAAGUUAUAGAAAUAUAAUGGAGGUUAUCAAGAAAACAGGUGGUGCAUGGUUGUCGUCAGCUCGUGUCGUGAGAUGUUAGGUUAAGUCCUAAAACGAGCGCAACCCUUGUCGUUAAUUGCCAGCAUGUAAUGAUGGGGACUUUAACGAGACUGCCAAUGAAAAAUUGGAGGAAGGUGGGGAUUACGUCAAAUCAUCAUGCCCCUUAUGAUCUGGGCUACAAACGUGAUACAAUGGUUGAUACAAAGAGUAGCUGAAACGCGAGUUCUUAGCCAAUCUCACAAAAUCAAUCUCAGUUCGGAUUGAAGUCUGCAACUCGACUUCAUGAAGUUGGAAUCGCUAGUAAUCGCGAAUCAGCAUGUCGCGGUGAAUACGUUCUCGGGGUUUGUACACACCGCCCGUCAAACCACGAAAGUUGGCAAUACCCCAAAGCGGUCACCUAACUUCGCAAGAAGAAGGAUCCGUCUAAGGUAGGGUCGAUGAUUGGGGUUAAGUCGUAACAAGGUAUCCCUACCGGAAGGUGGGGAUGGAUCACCUCCUUUCUAAGGAAAAAAUAAAAUUAUCAUCUUCAGUUUUGAAAGACUUAGAAAAUUCAUAAGUUUUUCUUUUUUAAGGCAUUAAGGGCCUAUAGCUCAGCUGGUUAGAGCACACGCCUGAUANAAAACAAUUAGCAGUCAGACUGUGGGUGAUAAGGUCCAUGGUCAAAAGGGAAAGAGCCCAGACCGUCAGCUAAGGUCCCUAAAUUAAUGUUAAGUGGAAAAGGAAGUAGAGACGUUUAAACAAUUAGGAAGUUGGCUUAGAAGCAGCCAUCUUUUAAAGAGUGCGUAAUAGCUCACUAAUCUAAUGACUCUGCACCGAAAAUUUAACGGGGCUAAAACAUUAUACCGAAGCUACGGAUAUAAAAAUAAUUUAUUAUUUUUAAUAUGGUAGGGGAAGCGUUCUGACAUCGAUGAAGCCAUAGCGGAAGCAGUGGUGGAGAGGUCAGAAGUGAGAAUGCCGGUGUAAGUAACGAAAAGAUAGGUGAGAAUCCUAUCCGUCAAAAACCCAAGGUUUCCAGGGGCAGGUUCGUCCGCCCUGGGUUAGUCAGGUCCUAAGGCGAGGCAGAAAUGCGUAGUCGAUGGCAAGCAGGCUAAAAUUCCUGCACUAAGAAAACAACUGAUGGAGCUACAAAACAGGCUAAGCACGCCCUUUAUUGGAUUAGGGUAGAAGAACCAAGUUUGAGAAGAUAGGCAAAUCCGUCUUCUUAUUCCAAAAAAUAAGGUUUGAAGGUAACGUGACUGAAGUCAUAUUUUCAAGAAAAACUUCUAGGGCUAAUUGUUUUUUUACCUGUACCGUAAACCGACACAGGUGGGAAGGUAGAGUAUACUAAGACGCGCGAGAAAACUCUUGUUAAGGAACUCGGCAAAAUGACUCCGUAACUUCGGGAUAAGGAGAGCUUUUAUGAUAAAAAGUAAAAGCCGCAGAGAAUAGGCCCAAGCGACUGUUUAUCAAAAACAUAGGUCCCUGCUAAACCGUGAGGUGAUGUAUAGAGGCUGAUGCCUGCCCGGUGCUGGAAGAUUAAGAGGAGAUGUCAAAGGUAACUUGAAGCAUUGAAUUGAAGUCCCAGUGAACGGCGGCCGUAACUAUAACGGUCCUAAGGUAGCGAAAUUCCUUGUCGGGUAAGUUCCGACCCGCACGAAAGGCAUAACGAUUUGGGCGCUGUCUCAACAAGAGUCUCGGUGAAAUCAAAUUACCGGUGAAAAUGCCGGUUACCCGCGACAGGACGAAAAGACCCCAUGGAGCUUUACUGUAGCUUAAUAUUGAAAUUGAAAAUUGCAUGUAGAGGAUAGGUGGGAGACUGUGAAAUUAGGACGCUAGUUCUAAUGGAGUCAUCCUUGGAAUACCACCCUUGUUAUUUUUAGCUUCUAACCUGCAUAAGUGUAUUAUGAGGGACAGUGUUUGGUGGGCAGUUUGACUGGGGCGGUCGCCUCCUAAAGAGUAACGGAGGCGUUCAAAGGUACCCUCAAAAUGGUCGGAAAUCAUUUUAAGAGCGUAAAGGUAAAAGGGUGCUUGACUGCGAGACCUACAAGUCGAGCAGGAACGAAAGUUGGACUUAGUGAUCUUACGGUACCGUAUGGAAGGGCCGUGACUCAACGGAUAAAAGCUACCCUGGGGAUAACAGGCUUAUCGCUUCCGAGCGUUCACAGCGACGAAGCGGUUUGGCACCUCGAUGUCGGCUCAUCGCAUCCUGGAGCUGGAGAAGGUUCCAAGGGUUGGGCUGUUCGCCCAUUAAAGCGGAACGCGAGCUGGGUUCAGAACGUCGUGAGACAGUUCGGUCUCUAUCCGUCGUGGGCGUUGGAAAUUUGCAAGGAGCUGUCCCUAGUAUGAGAAGACCGGGAUGGAUAUACCGCUGGUGUUUCAGUUGGUUCGCCAGAGCCACAGCUGAGUAGCUAUGUAUAGAAAGGAUAAACACUGAAAGCAUCUAAGUGUGAAGCCUCCCUUAAGAUGAGAUUUCCCUAUGAGAUCCCUGGAAGACUACCAGGUUGAUAGGCUAGAGGUGUAAGAAUAGUGAUAUUUUCAGCUGAAUAGUACUAAUAGAUCCAUUGACUUUGAU